rnacentral:rRNA from 1 species
UACGAAGGGUGCAAGCGUUACUCGGAAUUACUGGGCGUAAAGCGCACGUAGGCGGAUUUGUAAGUCAGGGGUGAAAUCCCGGGGCUCAACCUCGGAACUGCCUUUGAUACUGCAAAUCUCGAGUCCGGAAGAGGUGAGUGGAAUUCCUAGUGUAGAGGUGAAAUUCGUAGAUAUUAGGAAGAACACCAGUGGCGAAGGCGGCUCACUGGUCCGGUACUGACGCUGAGGUGCGAAAGCGUGGGGAGCAAACAGG